AGCCGUAAAAAGUUGCCGGCAGAAGGAAUCAUAAUCCUUGUGUCGGGGGUUCAAAUCCCUCCCUCGCUACCA
rnacentral:tRNA from 1 species